rnacentral:rRNA from 1 species
AUUGAACGCUGGCGGCAGGCUUAACACAUGCAAGUCGAGCGGGGUGAUGGUGCUUGCACUAUCACUUAGCGGCGGACGGGUGAGUAAUGCUUAGGAAUCUGCCUAUUAGUGGGGGACAACAUCUCGAAAGGGAUGCUAAUACCGCAUACGUCCUACGGGAGAAAGCAGGGGAUCACUUGUGACCUUGCGCUAAUAGAUGAGCCUAAGUCGGAUUAGCGAGUUGGGGGGGUAAAGGCCUACCAAGGCGACGAUCUGUAGCGGGUCUUAGAGGAUGAGCCGCCACACUGGGACUGAGACACGGCCCAGACUCCUACGGGAGGCAGCAGUGGGGAAUAUUGGACAAUGGGGGGAACCCUGAUCCAGCCAUGCCGCGUGUGUGAAGAAGGCCUUAUGGUUGUAAAGCACUUUAAGCGAGGAGGAGGCUCUUUUGGUUAAUACCCAAGAUGAGUGGACGUUACUCGCAGAAUAAGCACCGGCUAACUCUGUGCCAGCCGCCGCCGUAA